rnacentral:misc_RNA from 1 species
UAGGAAUCCGCUCGUGGCUGCUGCCCAGUGUGCUUUCCCACUGUCCUUUCCGCUGCGCAAGUGCGUGGCUGCCUCCGCCUGCGUGCGUGCGAGGUGUUGGGGCGUUUGCGUUGGGCCCCUUCGCCCCCGAAACAAAGCCUUUUGCAUAUCCAUCAUGCCAACGACUGACGGCCGCGUCCCAGGCGGCAAGUUACGGAGGAGCAUGAGUCGCGUCUUUGUUGCCUUCUUCGCUGCUGUGCUUUUCGUCGUCUUUCUCACCGCAUACGACGUCGGCGUUGGCACCGCCAACCCGCUUCAGUCGCGGCACAUGCAGCUCACGCAGAACGCAGUGAAGAAGAGUGAGGCAAAUCUAGUGAACUGCCGCGAGGUCAACGCGGAUUUAAAGAGCGGUGGUGGCGUCAAUGCCGCACAGGCGAUUGCGGAGAUGAGGCGGCAGAGAGAGGAGCUGAUGAACAUCGUCGCGCUGGAGCGUGAGCGUGUAGUGUCGGCGCGUAGUCUGCUGCAGGUUUGCGAGGAUGAGCUAGCCAGCGACCUCAGUGUACUCUUCGGUGUCGCCGACCACAACUUCACUGCGCGCAUCCGGUCGUUGGAGGAAAAGCGGAAACAUUUGGAGGGUUUGCACUCGAUGCUCAACACGACCCCGUUUGGUGCAGUGGAGCUGCGCCGCAGCAGCGAAAUCCGUGCACUGCAGGCGGCUCUCUUUCACGAGAUGCGCGCCAGCAAGAAGAAAGCAGAAAACGGUGUGGCGAACGGCGAAGCGUGCACGAAGACUUCGGACAAGUACUCCGUCGUGUUCGACAUCGGCAGCACUGGAAAUCGUGUCCAUGUCUACAAGUACAGAGUGGCCCCUGCCACGCAUACCGCUGCUGCGGCCGGCAGUGAGCUCAGCGACAUCGACCUCGUCGAGGAGUUGUUUGAGCUAAAUCACAAAGCCCUUAGCGAGCUCGAUAAUCCGGUGCAGGAUGCGCCGGAAGCCUUAUGGGAGCUCUUCAUGAAAGCCAAGUACUUUGUACCGGCGGAGCUGCACGCAUGCACGGCAGUCGAGUUCAAGGCUACCGCGGGACUGCGCAUGCUGGGGAUGGAGAAGGCCACCGAAAUUCUUGACGGGAUUCGCGCGCGCUACCGCAACGAAACGUUCUGGUUGCGCGGCAAUGCACCGGUUCGCAUCUUGGAUGCCUGCGAGGAGGGCCCAAUGGCGUGGCUCACGGUAAACUACUUACUGGGGGUAUUCUCCAGGGGUACAAAGGCAACCGCCUCGACGGUGGCCGUCAUCGACCUCGGAGGCGGCUCCACGCAGAUCGUCUUCGAACCCGGCGAGAGCGCGUUCCACGGGAUGCGCACCGAUUUGCGCUACUCGGCAACCUUGGGCAGCCGGUCUGUGAGUGCCUACCAACACAGCUACGAAGGCUACGGCCUGCACGCGGCCACCAAGGAGCUGCUUUUCCACAUUCAAGGCAAGAGCCAAGAGAAGCCGGGAGGCGGUACCACCACCAGCACAGCAACGACGACCACCACGACAACACCGGCAAACAGCGGCGACAAGGCUCUGUCUGUUUGGAACGUUCUGGGAAACCUGGGUGCAGACGGGAGCAGCGAGCGAGACGACAUCGUCACCAAGAGAGCGCCGCCGAUGCCACCACCGCCACUGCCGGACGCGGAGGCGGUGGAGGCGUUCCCCUGCUUCGCUGUCGGCUACGAAGACCCGCUAGGGGUGAAGAACAUCAAGAAAAACAAUACCGGGGAGCCGGCUAUGCCCCCGAACUUCCAGGCUUGCGCGAACCUUUUCCGCGAUCGGCUGCUAAAGCCAGUGGGGCUGACAUGUGAGGCGGCCAACUGCGGCAUCGCUGGUGUCAUGCAGCCACCGCUGACCAACUUCACCGGGGAAAUCUACGUGUUUUCGUUCAUCUUUGAUCUGCUGGCCUUGGCGAACAGCUCCCUGGUGCCAGCGGGGGCUGCCGUGUCAAGGGAAAAGUUUGAGGUGAAGCUGCCGGACCUAGCGACGAUUGCGGAGGGUCACUGCGCCGCCUUCUCCCUCACCCGUAUCGCCGAGGCGACCGCCAAGGAGGGCCUCGGUAGCCUGAAGCCGGAGUACGAGUGCAUGUAUUACUCCUACGUGUACGCGCUUCUCCGCUACGGGUACGAGGUGCCAGAGGAUCGCGUGCUGCACGUGGUGAAGAAGAUCCGCGGCUACGAGACCGCCUGGUCCCUCGGCGCCUCACUCCUCUCUCUUACCUAAAUUGCCUUCCGACGGGAAACGGCAUUUGGGCGUGGGAAGAGGAGAGGGCGGGGUCGCUGAUGUGCGGUGUUGCGGUGCAUCCUGAAGCGAUGGCUGGCAGGAUGACAGCCACGGGCGUGUGCAUGCGGCUCGCACUUCUCUAUAUCCUCCUCACCCCUCCAUCUCCUCGUCAACAGAGCAGUGCCUUCUUGUCCGCCCUUUCGCUGGUACCGUGUAUCAGGCGACGGCCAUGCCGUUGUCGCUGUCGGCUGUGUGUGCGUGUGUAUGUCAAGCCAGGUUUACGUUGUGCUUUCUCCGUCGAUCUCUCUUGCAAUGUACCUCGUGUAAAGCCAUGACGUCUGUUGUUGUUGCCGAAGGUGCGCGACAGGAAGGAAAGACGGAGGGAUGAUGCAAAAACAACGUGUGGAUGAGGAGUGGGCCUAGGCACUCUCCGCUAUUCCAGUGACAUGCAUCACCGCGUACCUAGCUUCUCCCUAACUCCCUUAUGCUCUUAUACUCAUGGCUGAUCUCGAGGAGCGACGUCGUUAUGCGCGUUUAG